rnacentral:lncRNA from 1 species
UAAGGUUACCCGUGGCACUCCCUUACAAAAUUCUUAGAUUAAUUUUUUCUCUUUCCCCAGCAUCUCUAGAAAACAUCAAAAGGCUCACUCCGACCAAAAAUUUUCACUCAUUUGGGUCACUCAGGAUUAACCUAAAAGCAGUAUGGCUUCUAGAAAUCAAGUUAUGCUUUUAUUAUAUGUAUAGGAUGAAAUGAUGAACAU